rnacentral:rRNA from 1 species
AGAGUUUGAUCAUGGCUCAGGACGAACGCUGGCGGCGCGCUUAACACAUGCAAGUCGUGCGGUACCGAUGGCAAGUCUUCUUGACGAGCCUUCGGUAUAGCGGCGGACGGGUGAGUAACACGUGAGUAGCUGUCCUAGGGAGGGGGAUAACGCCUGGAAACGGGUGCUAAAACCCCAUAAGCCUCGAAAGAGGUAAAAGUGCAUCACUGCAGUCCUAGGGUGUGCUCGCGGCCUAUCAGCUAGUUGGUGAGGUAAGGGCUCACCAAGGCCAAGACGGGUAGCCGGCCUGAGAGGGUGUACGGCCACACUGGAAUUGAGAUACGGUCCAGACUCCUACGGGAGGCAGCAGUGGGGAAUUUUGGGCAAUGGGCGAAAGCCUGACCCAGCGACGCCGCGUUGGGGAUGAAGUCCUUCGGGGCGUAAACCCAUGUUGUAGGGGAAGAAGAAAGUGACGGUACCCUACGAGAAAGCCCCGGCCAACUACGUGCCAGCAGCCGCGGUAAAACGUAGGGGGCGAGCGUUAAUCGGAAUUACUGGGCGUAAAGCGUGCGCAGGCGGAUUAUUAAGCAAGACGUGAAAGCCCCGGGCUUAACCUGGGAAUGGCGUUUUGAACUGGUAGUCUAGAGUGCGUCAGAGGGGGGUGGAAUUCCACGUGUAGCAGUGAAAUGCGUAGAGAUGUGGAGGAACACCAAUGGCGAAGGCAGCCCCCUGGGAUGACACUGACGCUCAUGUACGAAAGCGUGGGUAGCAAACAGGAUUAGAUACCCUGGUAGUCCACGCCCUAAACGACGUCAACUGGUUGUUGGGGGAGUGAAAUCCCUUAGUAACGAAGCUAACGUGUGAAGUUGACCGCCUGGGGAGUACGGUCGCAAGAUUAAAACUCAAAGGAAUUGACGGGGACCCGCACAAGCGGUGGAUGAUGUGGAUUAAUUCGAUGCAACGCGAAAAACCUUACCUACCCUUGACACGUCCGGAAUCCUGCAGAGAUGCGGGAGUGCCCGAAAGGGAAUCGGAACACAGGUGCUGCAUGGCUGUCGUCAGCUCGUGUCGUGAGAUGUUGGGUUAAGUCCCGCAACGAGCGCAACCCUUAUCAUUAGUUGCUACGCAAGGGCACUCUAAUGAGACUGCCGGUGACAAACCGGAGGAAGGUGGGGAUGACGUCAAGUCCUCAUGGCCCUUAUGGGUAGGGCUUCACACGUCAUACAAUGGUCGGUACAGAGGGUUGCCAAGCCGCGAGGUGGAGCCAAUCCCAGAAAGCCGAUCGUAGUCCGGAUUGUUCUCUGCAACUCGAGAGCAUGAAGUCGGAAUCGCUAGUAAUCGCGGAUCAGCAUGUCGCGGUGAAUACGUUCCCGGGUCUUGUACACACCGCCCGUCACACCAUGGGAGUGGAAUCUGGCAGAAGUAGGUAGCCUAACCGCAAGGAGGGCGCUUACCAUGCUGGGUUUCAUGACUGGGGUGAAGUCGUAACAAGGUAACCGUA